rnacentral:rRNA from 1 species
CGAUGGAUAGGGGUUCUGAGAGGAAGGUCCCCCACAUUGGAACUGAGACACGGUCCAAACUCCUACGGGAGGCAGCAGUGAGGAAUAUUGGUCAAUGGACGAGAGUCUGAACCAGCCAAGUAGCGUGAAGGAUGACUGCCCUAUGGGUUGUAAACUUCUUUUAUACGGGAAUAAAGUGAGGCACGUGUGCCUUUUUGUAUGUACCGUAUGAAUAAGGAUCGGCUAACUCCGUGCCAGCAGCCGCGGUAAUACGGAGGAUCCGAGCGUUAUCCGGAUUUAUUGGGUUUAAAGGGAGCGUAGGCGGACGCUUAAGUCAGUUGUGAAAGUUUGCGGCUCAACCGUAAAAUUGCAGUUGAUACUGGGUGUCUUGAGUACAGUAGAGGCAGGCGGAAUUCGUGGUGUAGCGGUGAAAUGCUUAGAUAUCACGAAGAACUCCGAUUGCGAAGGCAGCUUGCUGGACUGUAACUGACGCUGAUGCUCGAAAGUGUGGGUAUCAAACAGGAUUAGAUACCCUGGUAGUCCACACAGUAAACGAUGAAUACUCGCUGUUUGCGAUAUACAGUAAGCGGCCAAGCGAAAGCGUUAAGUAUUCCACCUGGGGAGUACGCCGGCAACGGUGAAACUCAAAGGAAUUGACGGGGGCCCGCACAAGCGGAGGAACAUGUGGUUUAAUUCGAUGAUACGCGAGGAACCUUACCCGGGCUUGAAUUGCAACUGAAUGAUGUGGAGACAUGUCAGCCGCAAGGCAGUUGUGAAGGUGCUGCAUGGUUGUCGUCAGCUCGUGCCGUGAGGUGUCGGCUUAAGUGCCAUAACGAGCGCAACCCUUAUCUAUAGUUACUAUCAGGUCAUGCUGAGGACUCUAUGGAGACUGCCGUCGUAAGAUGUGAGGAAGGUGGGGAUGACGUCAAAUCAGCACGGCCCUUACGUCCGGGGCUACACACGUGUUACAAUGGGGGGUACAGAAGGCAGCUACACGGCGACGUGAUGCUAAUCCCGAAAGCCUCUCUCAGUUCGGAUUGGAGUCUGCAACCCGACUCCAUGAAGCUGGAUUCGCU